rnacentral:tRNA from 1 species
AACGACUAGUCUAACUCAAGACACCUAAUUUCGACUUAGGAAACCCCAACCAAAACUGGGGUCGAUA